rnacentral:ncRNA from 1 species
CCAAAAACUGUGAUGGGAAGAGUAGGUGUGGGAAGUAGUUUUAGCGAGUCGGUGGUGGUGGAAGACCGAUACGAAGCCCAUAUUGAAGAACAUCCCGGAGUUUCCUAUCGAAAUCAAGUGAGAGUAGGUUAGGACGUAGCUGGAACGUUAUAUCCAGAGGAUAUGUUAGUAUCUUUAGAGCGGCCAAUAGGCAAUUUGGGUGGCACCACGGAAGUUAAGCCUUUCGUCCCAUUA